UCAGAUAUUUAAUCAGUGGAAUCCACAUCUCGAAUCGCGAUCACUUAAGCUCGUUCCAACUGGACUAUUGCUUCCACGAUAAUUCUAGGUGCUAUUCAUUAAAACAAUUUUAGAGUGGAUACAAAGAUGCAACACAUGCAUGGUGCUGUUAUCUUGUAUCUACGCUAGAUGCCGAUAGACCUUAGGUCCUUAGCUAAGAUAUAAAUAACAUUAAAUAAUGUCAUAAGCUUUUAUUUUUUUCACAUACACA
rnacentral:lncRNA from 1 species